CCGUUGUGUUUUCCCCUCUCGCCAAUCUCUACCCGCCGUCCACCAGGCACCGCCGCUGCCACCGCCGAAGCACGGCUGCUCCCAAACCAGGGUGUGACCAGUGCAUCUCGCUUCCUUCCCCCGUGGGCGUCCUCGUCGUCCCCAACCCCCAGACUGCCGUGGAGUGAGAUCCAUCCGGGCUUGGGUUGAUUUCUUCAUUUGCCGGAAUGGAGAAGUAUUACAGUAAAACUAAAUUUGCACCCUUCAGAGAUGCUCCAUUUGCGCUGCGCGGUGCUCUUGGCAGCUCAAACACAAACCUUGAGCAAACUAGGGGCUACACAUCUUCUCCAUUAGGAGCUCUGCGACCAAAGGUGCCUCCAUCCGGAAGACGCCCCCUGCACACUAGUGGUCCCCUGUCGGCUCCUGUUGCAAACCGCCCAUUGUCGCCCCACCUUCCUCUGAAGAAGCCACAGCUGAGCGCUACAUUCUCGAUCUCCCACCGUAUAUUCGGUGUUGCACUGGGUGUUGCCAUCAUAUCCGUUCCUCUUGCGACCAAGUUUAGCAUCAUGUUUGGAGUUUGAGAGCAAUGGUAGCCUGCCUUGAUGAGAUUUAAGUUUUCUGCUUUUGUGAAUGUUUUGUCAUUUGCGUUUUCUUGUUAUGCUACUGGUGGCAUAGUUGGAAACGGAACUUUGCCAUGUUUGCAGGAUGUUGUAUUCCCUGGUUUCUGUGAAUGUUUCAUCAUCUUGAGUUUUUCUUGCUAUGGUACUAGACUACUAGUGGCGCACAAAGUUGCAAUAGCAGCUUCAUCGUGCCGGCAUCGGCAAACAUUAUGUAAUAAGGAAAACUAUGCAAUUUAUUGUGUGAAAAGGAUCUCAUUGACUCAUUCUGAGCGCACUUGGUUAAUUAGAACCUGAUUUAAUUGGCUUCA